UACGGACUUAAAAUCCGUCGACUUUAGAAAUCGUGA
rnacentral:tRNA from 1 species